rnacentral:lncRNA from 1 species
CACCCAUUCAUUCCACACACACGUCAUAGAGGCCUGCAGUGUGCUGAUGGGCCAGGAUCUGGGACUUCAUUGUGGACCAGGAAAGUUCCUGUUCUCACAGGAUCCCAAUCAGAGGGAGGGGAGGGCCAAGAAAACCCAGAUAAACCCACCAGUCACAACACAGUGUGGGGACCGCCACGAGAGCAGAAACACACGGCUGACCGCGUGCCAGUCUCAACUUCUCUCAAUUUCUCUGUGGUGACAAGGGUAUAGGUUUCUCUGCUUGACUGAGACCAAAAUAACAGUCGCUCAAACAAGGUGGAAGUUUAUUUCUCUCUCAUACAGCAGCCCAGAUAUACGGUGCCCAGGGCUUUUAUGACGGCUCCAAGAUAUCAGGUCUGGGUUCCUUCCACCUCGUGGCCCUGCCACCCCUGUGUGUGGCCCUCGCCCACAUGGCUGAAGAUGGUUCACCACCAUGUCUGCUUUCCAGCCACUAGGAAACAGGAAGAGGAGAAGAGGAGGCAGUGAUCCAGAAGUUUCAUGCAUCCCUUCUGUCCACUUUUUGUUGGCCAGAGCUUAGUCACGGGGCCACACCUGGCUGCAAGGGAGUUUGGGAAGGGUGGGCUUUCUCUUGGCAGCUGUGUCAAGUCAGUGGCUAAAGAUCUGGGAUUCUAUUACCAUGGAGAGUAGAAAGAGAAGCGGGAACAAGCCGUCACUGCCAUGCUUGCUGUCCCCUCUUUUAAACCAGACCAAAAACAGAGGCAGCUUAGCCCAGCUCAGUGUCACGUGUUAUCAUGGUCCCAGAAGACAGAGCCUGCAGACUGCUUGGAAACCAGAGAAUGUAGGAUGUCUGCAGUGCCUUUGUAGAAAUGGACCAGGUGAGAAAGUAGCCAUUCUACGUAUUUCAAAGCGAGGGCAGUUAGUACAGGGAAUUGGUAGAAGAGCUGAGAAGCCAGACAACCUGGAGAUUAGCGACCACAGGAAGUUGUUUCACUCCCAGGCUGGAUGAACAGGGAGGAGCCCAGAGUCAGGGACCAACCACUGGGAGCCAAAACUAUGGCAGAUGGUGUCCAGUGGGACCUGGGACCACAGAAGGAACCGGAGGCUGGAGGAGAUGCUGCUGCAGCUGGAGAUGCCAUGGGGGCGGAGUGAGAGGAGCAGGUACUCUGGCUUUUCCCCUCUUCCCACCCUCGCUUCUGUAGGUUGCCACAUUCCUUGUCUUGAGGCCACACCAACUCCAACCUCUGCUUCCAUCAUCACGUCUCCUUCUUGCCCCCUCUUGCCUCCCUCUGAGAAGGACACGUACCCGGAUAAUCCAGGAUAAUCUCUCCAUCUCAAGGGCUUUAACUUAAUCACAUUUGCAAAGUCCCUUUUCCCAUGUAAGAUUACUUAUUCAUAGAUUCUGGGAAUUAGGAUGUGGGCAUUUUGGGGAGGGGGUGGCAUUAUCCUGCCUAC